AAUAUUUCGCAAUGGGGGGGACCCUGACGCAGCAACGCCGCGUGAGUGACGCAGGUUUUCGGAUCGUCAAGCUCGGUCAUCGGGGACGAAGAAGUGACGGUACCCGAGGAGGAAGCCCCGGCCAACUACGGUCCAGCAGCCGCGGUAAGACGUAGGGGGCGAGCGUUGUCCGGAAUUACUGGGCGUAAAGGGUGCGUAGGCGGCCAAUUAAGUCAGAUGUGACAUACCACGGCUUAACCGUGGGGGUGCAUUUGAAACUGUUUGGCUUGAGUGCAGGAGAGGAAAGCGGAAUUCCUAGUGUAGCGGUGAAAUGCGUAGAGAUUAGGAGGAACACCAGUGGCGAAGGCGGCUUUCUGGACUGUAACUGACGCUGAGGCACGAAAGCGUGGGUAGCGAACA
rnacentral:rRNA from 1 species